UACGGAGGGGGCUAGCGUUGUUCGGAUUUACUGGGCGUAAAGGGCGCGUAGGCGGCGAAUCAAGUCAGCUGUGAAAUCUCCGAGCUUAACUCGGAACGGUCAGCUGAUACUGUUUUGCUAGAGUGCAGAAAGGGCAACCGGAAUUCUUGGUGUAGCGGUGAAAUGCGUAGAUAUCAAGAGGAACACCUGAGGCGAAGGCGGGUUGCUAGGCUGACACUGACGCUGAAGCGCGAAAGCUAGGGUAGCAAACGGG
rnacentral:rRNA from 1 species